rnacentral:rRNA from 1 species
UACGGAGGGUGCGAGCGUUGUCCGGAAUCACUGGGCGUAAAGCGCACGCAGGCGGAUCUUUAAGUCAGGGGUGAAAUCCCGAGGCUCAACCUCGGAACUGGCUUUGAUACUGGGGAUCUCGAGUCCGGGAGAGGUGAGUGGAACUGCGAGUGUAGAGGUGAAAUUCGUAGAUAUUCGCAAGAACACCAGUGGCGAAGGCGGCUCACUGGCCCGGAACUGACGCUGAGGUGCGAAAGCGUGGGGAGCAAACAGG